CACUGGGAGAAACAGAUGGUGAGCUGACCACCUUGGAAUUCAUAGCGCUUAAAACCUCUAAUUUCCAGUGGACCAGUAACAUGGUAAAAAAGCACGGGUUGUUCGUUCUAUCAGUUUCUAUCGAUACAGAACGAUAGAAAGUUCUUUUUCGUGAGUUUCCUAAUCUAUUGUGCAUGGUGGCAGAGCACGUGGCGUAUGUGUCAUCACGAUCGACGGUGACUUGCGACACCUGGCAACGUCAGGAAAUGGAAACCUCGCCGCAGACCGUACACUUUCCUAUCCUCGUUUCAGCGUUCGCACGCUUACGAAUCAGAAAUAAUUGAAAAGUUUUAGACGCCUGAUACAACAGCUCGAAAAGCGUUCUACUAAUUAAUAUAAAAUCGUGUUUCGUAGACGCUGCCACCGCCAAAAUACGCAGAGCCCGCGUCGCGCAUGUUGAUCACCAGACGGAGAAAACAAUUCGUUGUCGCCUGAAAUUUCACCUGUAUUGGUCGUCGAAGCAUGGUGGUGCCCCACCCAGAGAGAUUUACUACGCCCGAAGAAAAUUCUUAAUCGGGAAAGAUUUUUGUCGAGGAAACACUUCGGAGCGAAGAAACGAGAAAGUGGAAGAAGUCUGUACUUGCCGAUGACGUAAAACGGACCGAGCGGCUCAGCAUUUACGAGACCUUUGCCGCGUCUGAUUCGAGUACAAAUUCGAAUGAAAAGUGUCUUGGGUACCUCGUGACGUACAGUAAAAUGAAAUGACAGAAAGAAGACAGUACGUUAAAAAAGUGCUGGCUGUUAGUACAGGUGUUUCUUGCAGAGCCAAUGAUAUAUUACAAGUAGUUCUCGAAAAAUUGUCGCGCAUAGUGAUAUUAUAGAGCCGUUAAUAUGCGCACAACAGAGGUGUAAUGUCUAGCUACAUAGAUGUUUCAUGUAGGUCAACCAGGAGAAUGAGUUACAAAAGGCAAAACUCGCUUCGAUCGACUGCCUCCACAACGAGUCCUGUUUCUUACGUUGCGCGACCAGUCUCGUUCACCUUAAAUUUAAUCGAAUAGAAUACAAAACUGAAUCGCGCAGAACACACGUACUUUUAAUACGAAAUUCCUUGGA